ACUGUUUUUCUUUUAUUGGUUUAGGCACACAUCCAGUCUCCAAAUAUCUCGGCACUAUUGACUAUCGAUACAACAGUUUGUUCCAGGACGCUGCUUGGAGGGACCUGUUUCACAAGCCAGAAGCUCCUGUUGUUGCCCAGGAGAACCCAGACGUAGUGUCAAGGGUAACUCAGUACAUGAUGGGAGCUAACGGAGCUCACCAGCUUCCCAUCGCAGAGGCCAUGCUCACCUACAAACAGAAGAGG